GGGGAUUUGGCUCAGUGGUAGAGCGCUUGCCUAGCAAGCGCAAGGCCCUGGGUUCGAUCCUCAGCUCCG
rnacentral:tRNA from 1 species